UACAGAGGGGGCAAGCGUUAUUCGGAAUUAUUGGGCGUAAAGGGCGCGUAGGCGGCCUGUUAAGUCGAACGUGAAAUCCCCGGGCUCAACCCGGGAACUGCGUCCGAUACUGGCAGGCUUGAAUCCGGGAGAGGGAUGCGGAAUUCCAGGUGUAGCGGUGAAAUGCGUAGAUAUCUGGAGGAACACCGGUGGUGAAGGCGGCAUCCUGGACCGGCAUUGACGCUGAGGCGCGAAAGCCAGGGGAGCAAAACGGGG
rnacentral:rRNA from 1 species